AUACGUAGGGGGCAAGCGUUGUCCGGAAUUAUUGGGCGUAAAGCGCGCGCAGGCGGUCCUUUAAGUCUUGUGUAUAAGGCUAGGGCUUAACCUUAGUCCGCAUGGGAAACUGGGGGACUGGAGUGCAGGAGAGGAAAGUGGAAUUCCACGUGUAGCGGUGAAAUGCGUAGAGAUGUGGAGGAACACCAGUGGCGAAGGCGACUUUCUGGCCUGUAACUGACGCUGAGGCGCGAAAGCGUGGGGAGCAAACAGGAUUAGAUACCCUGGUAGUCCACGCCGUAAACGAUGAGUGCUAGGUGUCGGGGUUGUCAUGACCUCGGUGCCGAAGUUAACACAGUAAGCACUCCGCCUGGGGAGUACGCUCGCAAGAGUGGA
rnacentral:rRNA from 1 species